UACGUAGGGGGCGAGCGUUGUCCGGAUUCAUUGGGCGUAAAAGAGCUCGUAGGCGGCUUGGCAAGUCGGAUGUGAAAACUCCAGGCUCAACCUGGAGCCGCCAUUCGAUACUGCUAUGGCUAGAGUCCGGUAGGGGAGUGUGGAAUUCCUGGUGUAGCGGUGAAAUGCGCAGAUAUCAGGAGGAACACCAAUUGCGAAGGCAGCUCGCUGGGACGUUACUGACGCUGAGACGCGAAAGCGUGGGGAGCAAACAGG
rnacentral:rRNA from 1 species